AACGAACGCUGGCGGCAGGCUUAACACAUGCAAGUCGAACGCCCCGCAAGGGGAGUGGCAGACGGGUGAGUAACGCGUGGGAACGUGCCCUUCGCUUCGGAAUAGCCCCGGGAAACUGGGAGUAAUACCGAAUACGCCGUAUUGGGAAAGAUUUAUCGGCGAAGGAUCGGCCCGCGUUGGAUUAGCUAGUUGGCGGUGUAAUGGACCACCAAGGCGACGAUCCAUGGCUGGUCUGAGAGGAUGAUCAGCCACACUGGGACUGAGACACGGCCCAGACUCCUACGGGAGGCAGCAGUGGGGAAUCUUGGACAAUGGGCGCAAGCCUGAUCCAGCCAUGCCGCGUGAGUGAAGAAGGCCUUAGGGUUGUAAAACUCUUUCGCCGGAGAAGAUAAUGACGGUAUCCGGAGAAGAAGCCCCGGCUAACUUCGUGCCAGCAGCCGCAGUAACAC
rnacentral:rRNA from 1 species